GGGGGGGUGGGGGGAUGGGAACAGGGAUGGGAUUGGGAUGGAGACAUUGGGAUUGGGAUUGGGAUGGGAUGGAUUGGGAACGAUGGGAUUGGGAUUGGGAUGGGGAUGGGAUGGGGAUGGGAUUGGGAUUGGGGUGGGAUUGGGAUUGGGAUGGGGUUGGGAUGGGAUUGGGAUUGGGGUGGGAUGGGAUUGGGAUUGGGGUGGGAUUGGGACAGAUUGGGAUGGGGAUGGGAACAAUGGGAUUAGGAUGGGAUGGGGAUGGGAUUGGGACAGAUUGGGAUUAGGAUGGGGAUGGGAUUGGGAUUGGGGUGGGAUUGGGAUUGGGAUGGGAUGGGGAUGGGAUUGGGAUUGGGAUUGGGGUGGGAUUGGGAUUGGGAUGGGAUGGGGAUGGGAUUGGGACAGAUUGGGAUUGGGAUGGGAACAAUGGGAUUAGGAUGGGAUGAGGAUGGGAUGGAGACAGAUUGGAACUGGGAUGGGGAUGGGAAUGGGAUAGGGAUGGGAU
ensembl:lncRNA